rnacentral:sRNA from 1 species
ACCACCAACAUUCUUGGCAUUACGCAGGCCAGCAACUCCCAGCUCAAUGCAAUGGCUCAUCAGAUUCAAGAGAUGUUUCCCCAGGUUCCAUACCAUCUGGUACUGCAGGACCUCCAGCUGACACGCUCAGUUGAAAUAACAACAGACAAUAUUUUAGAAGGACGGAUUCAAGUACCUUUUCCUACACAGCGGUCAGAUAGCAUCAGACCUGCAUUGAACAGUCCUGUGGAAAGGCCAAGCAGUGACCAGGAAGAGGGAGAAACUUCUGCUCAGGUAAAACCCGCACUCUAGUGAGAGUGAGUUCAUGGAGCUGUGGAGGGGGAAUGUGGUCCCGGCAGUGGUCUUCCUCAGUCCUGAAGCUUGCAAGGCUUAGGGCACGAGUACAAAAGAAACUGUGCUGUAUCCAUCCCAAUAAUGAAGGGUAGC